CCUUGACAUACUAAGAACUUUCCAGAGAUGGAUUGGUGCCUUCGGGAACUUAGAUACAGGUGCUGCAUGGCUGUCGUCAGCUCGUGUCGUGAGAUGUUGGGUUAAGUCCCGCAACGAGCGCAACCCUUUUCCUUAUUUGCCAGCGGGUCAUGCCGGGAACUUUAAGGAUACUGCCAGUGACAAACUGGAGGAAGGCGGGGACGACGUCAAGUCAUCAUGGCCCUUACGGCCAGGGCUACACACGUGCUACAAUGGUCGGUACAAAGGGUUGCUACCUCGCGAGAGGAUGCUAAUCUCAAAAAGCCGAUCGUAGUCCGGAUCGCAGUCUGCAACUCGACUGCGUGAAGUCGGAAUCGCUAGUAAUCGCGGAUCAGAAUGCCGCGGUGAAUACGUUCCCGGGCCUUGUACACACCGCCCGUCACACCAUGGGAGUUUGUUGCACCAGAAGUAGGUAGUCUAACCGCAAGGAGGACGCUUACCACGGUGUGGCCGAUGGCUGGGGUGAAGUCGUAACAAGGUAGGCGUAGAUGA
rnacentral:rRNA from 1 species